CCAAGGAAAUAUAAUAAGAACACUAACAAAACAAUAGGGUUGCUGCACCUGCUAGGACCCCUAAUAAAAUGUAACUCACAUUAGGGUACAUCAUGUCAAGCAGUUUUUAAUUACACAAAAAAAUCCAUUGCUGUGACAUAUGUGUAGGCAUAUAGGCCUAAUAUAUAUAUAUAUAUACAUACAUACAUAUACAUAUAUAUAUAUAUACACAGGCACUGUGGUAGACUGCAUCCAAUUUGUUGAGUAGAGUGUUGGAGGCUAUUUUGUAAAUGACAUCGCCGAAGUCGAAGAUUGGAGAUGUUUAUAGUGAGUCUGGAAGGAGAGUUUACAGUCUAACCAGAUACCUAGGUAUUUGUAGUUGUCCACAUAUUCUAAGUCAGAACCGUCCAGAGUAGUGAUGCUGCAGGUGCGGGCAGCGAGCGGUUGAAGAGCAUGCAUUUAGUUUUACUUGCAUUGAAGAGCAGUUGGAGGCCACGGAAGGAGGGUUGUAUGGCAUUGAAGCUCAUCUGGAGGUUAGUUAACACAGUGUCCAAAGAAGGGCCAGAGGUAUACAGAAUGGUGUCGUCUGCAUAGAGGUGGAUCAAAUAAUCACCAGCAGCAAGAGCGACAUUAUUGAUGUAUACAGAGAAAAGAGUCGGCCUGAGAAUUGAACCCUGCAGCACCCCCAUAGAGACAGCCAGAGGUCCGGACAACAGGCCCUCCGAUUUGACAUACUGAACUCUUAUCAGAGAAGUAGUUGGUGAACCAGGCGAGGCAGUCAUUUGAGAAACCAAGGUGUUGAGUCUGCCAAUAAGAAUGUUGUGAUUGACAGAGUCGAAAGCCUUAGCCAGGUCGAUGAAUACGGCUGCACAGUAAUGUCUCUUAUCACGCCAGGGUAGUGGGUUCGAUUCCCGGGACCACCCAUACGUAGAAUGUAUGCACACAUGACUGUAAGUCGCUUUGGAUAAAAGCGUCUGCUGAAUGGCAUAUAUAUUAUCGAUGGCGGUUAUGAUAUCAUUUAGGACCUUGAGCGUGGCUGAGGUGCACCCAUGACCAGCUCUGAAACCAGUUUGCAUCGCGGAGAAGGUAUGGUGGGAUUCGAAAUGGUCGGUAAUCUGUUUGUUAACUUGGCUUUCGAAGACCUUAGAAAGGCAGGAUAGAAUAGUUAUAGGUCUGUAGCAGUUUGGGUCUGGAGUGUCUCCCCCUUUGAAGAGGGGGAUGACCGCUGCAGCUUUCCAAUCUUUAGGAAUCUCUGACGAUACGGAUAAAUAUACACUACCGUUCAAAAGUUUGGGGUCACUUUUUUGUCCAUUAAACUAACAUCAAAUUGAUAAGAAAUACAGUGUAGACAUUGUUAAAGCAGUGAGUGAGUCGAGAUCCGUCAGUAGUUCUCGGGCUGCCUUUACCUCCUCCAAUAAUCCGUGCAGUUACGUGUCGAACAGCGCUUCCGGGUUCCAAGUACCCUACUUUGCUAGCAUGCGGAACUCCACCGCGUCGUCUGCCACACUGAGGGAGUCCUGCUGAAGCUGGAGUAACUUCCGGGUAGCCUCUCUCCCGGACACCGGAGCCUCGAAAACCUUUCUCACCUCCGCCAUGAAUACCUCCAGACUGAGGCAGAAGGCGGUCUUCUUGUUGCUCCCACACUGCCAUAACCCAGGCGAGUGCCCUCCCGGACAUCAGCGCACGAUUGUACGCUAUAUUUGAGCGGCCCGAGGGGAACAAAAAAGGCUGCAAUACACUGCAAAACUUUUACCAAGAAGGUAAACAGGAAGAUUGCCUUGAAAGUCAUGAAGUAGCUUUUCAGACCUUUUGCCUCAGAUUUGGCUUCGUUUUUCAGGCUGCAGGUAGCAAAAGGCAUGUCUAGGGCAAGUUGCCAUUGGUCAGAGCGCAGCAAUAAACGCACUCCAUCAGGUGUUAGAAAGACAGUGAAGACAGCAGCCAGUCUUUUCCUUGAGAAUGGCUCAUCGCUCUGGGCUGGCACUGAACAGAUUGUAAAGACGAUUCACACAUCCAAAAAAGGUUGAUACUUCUGGGCACAACUGAGCUGCAUGUACACCCACAAGAUUAAGAGUAUGGGAGGCACAAGGUGAGUAUGUGGCCAGUGGAUUAUUUUGCAAUAUGUGUGCAUGAACUCCCUUCACUUUGCUUGACAUAUUUGCGCCAUUGUCAUAGCCUUGACCAUGGCAAUCUGCUAUGUCAAUACCGUGCCCCUCUAAUGCACUCAAAAUCAUUUCAGAAAUUUCACUGCCUGUCUUUCUAGAAAAGACUUUAAAUUCAAGAAAACAUUCCGUUAUUUCCAUUCACCAGUUCCCUGAACUUGAUCUUUGUGUACAUAUCUCACCAAUAAUACAUUUAGCUCAGUAUGGAAAAUGUCUGGGGUUCACAUAUCACAUAUGUAAUAGAUUGCAUCUUCUCUUUCAUAAAGUAUUGUUUUCAAAACCCUUUGACCACAUAUUCCUAUCAACUCGUUUUGGCUCUCAGGGCUGAGGUAAUGAGUCAUUUGUGUUCACUAUUAAGUUUCAUUAAAUAAUACCCGCAAAACACCUAUCUCAACGUCAACAGUGAAGAGGCGACUCCAGGAUGCUGGCCUUCUAGACUGAGUUCCUCUGCCCAGUGUCUGUGUUCUUUUGCCCAUCUUAAUCUUUCAUUUUUAUUGUCCAGUCUGAGAUAUGGAUUUUUCUUUGCAACUCUGUCGAGAAGGCCAGCAUCCCGGAGUGGCCUCUUCACUGUUGACGUUGAGACUGGUGUUUUGCGGGUACUAUUUAAUAAAGCUGCCAGGACUUGUGAGGCGUCUGUUUCUCAAACUAGACACUAAUGUACUUGUCCUCUUGCUCAAUUGUGCACCGGGGCCUCCCACUCCUCUUUCUAUUAUGGUUAGAGCCAAUUUGGGCUGUUCUGUGAAGGGAGUAGUACACAGCGGUGUAUGAGAUCUUCAGUUUCUUGGCAAUUUCUUGCGUGGAAUAGCCUUCAUUCAUUCCUCAGAACAAGAAUAGACAGAUGAGUUUCAGAAGAAAGUACUUUGUUUCUGGACAUUUUGAGCCUGUAAUCGAAUCCACAAAUGCUGAUGUUCCAGAUACUCAACUAGUCUAAAAAAGGAAAGUUUCUACACCUGCUUCUACACCUGCAUUGCUUGCUGUUUGGGGUUAUCAGGGUUUCUGUACAUUACUUUGAGAUAUCAGCUGAUGUACGUAGGGCUAUAUAAAUAAAUCUUAUUUGAUUUGAUUCAAGAGACCUAGCUCAUUCGUUGGAGUGAGUACUCUGGUGGGCCUUAAAUAUUUUUUUUUUGUCGCCUCUUGCUCUCCCCUCUCUCCGUGCCAUCCUGUGGUGGGGUGACCAGUCCAAGUCUCUCCAGGUACUCAUCGACUCGGGGGCCGAUUUGAGUCUCAUGGACGUUACCCUGGCGUCCAAGCUGGGCAUCCCUACACAAUCCCUUUCCAUUCCCAUGGAUGUUAGAGCGUGGGACUGGUGCACUAUAGGACAGGUCACCCACCAGACCACACCCAUCAACCUACGAGUGUCGGGGAACCACAGCGAGAUUAUCAAAUUUUGGCAUUGGCAUUCUCUUGGCUCCAGCAACACAAUCCCUCCAUUGACUGGGCUACUGGCGCCAACGUGGGCUGGAGCCUGUCCUGCCACACUGAUUUCUUAGAAUCAGCUAUGCCUGCCCCGGGACAUCUUCCUGGGGGCUUGGAAAUUGCCCCGGACCUCUCCGCCAGCUCCGCAGAGUACCAGGACCUCCGGGAGGGGUUUUGUAUGGCACGGGCCUCUUCGCUCCGCAGCACCGACUGGUAUCUAAGAAGGUCAAGCCCGAGGCGCUGGCACACCACUAUAGUGCCCUCGGCUACUACCCCGGAAGCUGAGACCCCCCCCCGCUCCAAGAUCAUUAGCCCCUCUGUUGCCCAGUAACUUCCAUAUUUGUCCUACCUUUUCUGUGUCUAGAAUGAAAACCAUGUCUGACUGCCCCUUGUCUCCUGUUUCCCCACUCCCCCGUCUCAUCAAUGGCCGACCGGCGUACAUGGUGAGACGCCUCCUGAAGGUUCGACCUCGGGACAGUGGAUUCCAAUACCUGGUUGACUGGGAGGGUUAUGGUCCGGAGGGGAGGUGCUGGGUCUCCGCUGGGGACAUCCUGGCACCAGGCGUCAUCUCUGACUUCCAGCGCUGGCACCCCGCUCAACCAGGAAUGCGCCCAGGUAGGACGCCAGGUGGUGUCCCUAGAGGACAUAACUGGGUGCUUCCAUUCUUGCCACAGAGACGAUCAAGUUGAACACUGAUGCUACACAGGCCACUACCUGCAUCCCCAGACAGGCCUUCAGCUGAGACAGAAGGAGAAGAGGAGAAGAGAAGAAAUACCACUGCUACAGUAUAUCUCACGUUGUUCCUUAAAGAACUUGUACACUUACAAAUUGCAAAACUUACAGUGGGAAGAUGGAGAUUCUGUGCAGCUAUGGCCAAACUACCAGCUAUGAUCACCUGUAGAAAUUACAACAGUAAGAAACAUGUCAACCUCAAGACUCAACACUCAGCUCUUUAAAUUGCUUGUCUUUUAACAUCAAUCAAGUGAGUAGAACAUGUAUGGUGGGCACUCACAAACACUGAUCCAAUGAUUUGUGGUGGGUCUAGAACCACUUCGCUCAAGCCGUUGGUGAGAAUGACAAUGACAGAACUGAUAUAGAACACACUGAGGGCAAUCUGAGUCACCUGAGGGGGAGGAGAGAGUGGUGAAAUAAAAUUAACUACAGAUUGUUAUGAAUAACAUUUCAUAGAUUAUAAAACAUUAUAGUGACAUUUCAUUGGAUUGCCAGACCACACUUCAUGUAUUUGCUCAGGAUGUUUUACCCCCAGUGCUUUGGGUUGAGACUCCAGGUACUUCUGUUUUUGGUGAGGAUUCCUCUGAAAUGUCACCGCGACAAGUGGACCCUCUACACCAGGAACAGCCUCUUCAUCUGAAAAGAGCAUUUGAGAAAACUGUCUAGCAAUAGACUGCUGCAGCUACUGCAAUACAACCCGAUUUAAAUGUUUUUUUGGGAGCAGCAUAUUGAGACGAUUUCUGUUCACAUGGAAAUGUUCUGGUAUGAGAUUGUUUUUAUUUUUAAAGCAAACAUGCAGAUCAGAG